rnacentral:rRNA from 1 species
UAGGGAAUAUUGCAAAAUGGGCGAAAGCCCGAUGCAGCAACGCCGCGUGGGCGAUGAAGGCCUUCGGGUCGUAAAGCCCUUUUUGAGGGGAUGAGGAAGGACAGUACCCUCAGAAUAAGCCUCGGCUAACUACGUGCCAGCAGCCGCGGUAAAACGUAGGAGGCGAGCGUUAUCCGGAUUUACUGGGCGUAAAGCGCGUGCAGGCGGAUUGGAGAGUUGGAUGUGAAAGCUCCCGGCUUAACUGGGAGAGGUCGUUCAAUACUUCCAGUCUUGAGUGCAGUAGAGGGAAGUGGAAUUCCGGGUGUAGUGGCGAAAUGCGUAGAUAUCCGGAGGAACACCAGCGGCGAAAGCGGCUUCCUGGACUGUAACUGACGCUCAGACGCGAAAGCUAGGGUAGCAAACG